ACUAUCAGAGACAGUAAAGAAAAGAAUUAAGCUUCACAAGAGAGAAAAUGAACCUUAGGAAGAAAUCUGAAGGAAGAAAUAAUGAAUCUAAAGGAUUGUAUCACAGGAGACAUUUCAUGUAUAAGUAACAGGAAAAGAAAGUGGAAAUGUUUGCAAGAAUUAUGAGCACUUCCACUGACAUUUCCACUGACCUUGUUGAGAAACCCUAUCAGACAAAGCAAGGAGUAUAUUCUCUGGGGACUAUCUUCACACCAUCAUGCACAAGGCCUUCACAGAACAACCUUGCAGCAAGCUGCUGACCUAUCUGCUGCUGCUGCUCCUUUUGACUGCAGGAGUAGUCAAAGUCUGGAAAGACAGUAUAAGAGCUACAGCAUUAUAUUUGGAACAUUAAAAAUAAGCAAAAGAUAAUGAGUGCAAUUCUUAGUCUUUGCCAGAAGGUUCUCAGUUCAUAUUAUGGCUUCAAAUACAGAGUGGCUAUCCCAGUAGAAAAUUGUGGACACCUUUCGAGGGUGGCACAAAGGAAAGAAGGGAUAUAUGUCAGCACAUUGGUCAACAGUAACUGUUCCUGUGAGAAGAAAUUUCAUGGUAGACCUCACUGUAGCCACUUAAUAGCUCAGAUAAGGAAGAUACCUUUGGGAAAGCUGCAUUGAACUACUGCAUUUUGAAUUAAAAUAGAGUUGGUUAUAAGAUAUACAGUUGAGAGAAUAAAAUAGCAACCGGCCUUGGAAAUUUCCUGUUUGCUAAAGGCAUUCUUAAAACAUACUUAGAUUCAAUAUCACCCUGCAGAUGGAUUAAGGUAAGGCACUUGGAAAUAAGACCUGACAUGUUUGCAGGUGGACAAGACACAGCCAUUAAUCUCUGCUUUAUUAAUACUUAUACUCCUAGAAUGUUACUCCAGAUAACUAGUGGUGUCACCAUGACCUGAACUAAGUCUCUCUGUUGAACAAAAAAAGAAUAGAAAGAGCUACAAUGUGGAAGACACCAAACAGAUGAAAUUUGGUAGUCAGAUGUAUUUUUUUUUCAGCUGGAUCAGUCAUAAUUAAGCCCUUGAUUUGAGCCUGACCCAUUGCAGAGCUCUUAGUGUCACAGCACUGCUCUAGGUAGAUUCCAAGUCAUGCAGACAGAAAUUUGCUAACUCUUCUAUGCUAGACAGACAAAUUACUCAGCACAAAUGAAACCUAUUCUUCUGAGAAUUUACAGUCACCCAAUUGCUGGAAAUCUGUACCCAUAUUUGCUAUGGUAUUAGAAGCAAUUUUCCAAAUCCUAGCAAUGCAGACCUAUUACCUGAAUGCUUUUUUUGACUUUGUAUUUUUACGUUUAUUUAGAAAAAAGAGACACUUUCCUAAGAAGCUGCACCUCAUUCAGUUUGUAGCAGAUCUAACAAAAACAAUUUUUGUAUGAGACAGAGCCUCUGCUAAUUGAAUUAGUAUGCAUUUGUUAAACAUUUUAAUUUCUAGCAAAAGACAGCUAAUACUUAAACAAUAUGCCAAAUACAUUAAUUUUCCUGGUUAAUCAAGAUAAAGGGAUUAGAAAAUACAGCUUUCUAUAUUGAAUUUACUCAUCUGCCCUAAUGUGCUAGCACUAGUUACAAAGGUAAUUGUGUAUAGUUUUUAAGCUAGUAAAUAUUUGUUUUUGAUUUGUUUUUCAUAAGAAGACAGCCUGUGUCUAUGUAACCCUGCUGCUUCCUCAAGAAGCUGACAUAUCACAUUAACAGUGGAUGGUGCUGUGUCCUACAGCUGUCUUGAUGUAUGUGUGAUGUCCAGAAUCUGAUGCCAGCCAGCAGACAUUUGCGCUGCAAAGAGCUGGUGCAAAGCUGCAAGCACUGAGACUGCUGCACUGACCAGUACCUAUUACAAGCUCAUCUAUGGGCUUACAGUCUCUUGGAGCACCUGCAACAAUUCUUCACAGCACUGCUGUACUUUCCUCAGGUAGUAAGGAGUAAACUUCACCCAUAUCAUAUUUGCAGGAGUUUUGUUCUUUGUUUAGACCUACAGAUUUCAGCACAAAGAUGGUGAUCUAGGUUAUAUUUUCUGCCUGACUUUACAGAUGUACAGUGCAAAUUUGCAAAAAACAAAAGCCUUUUUCUCUUGAAAUUAAUUUAACAUUUGUUGAAACCUUUUUUCCCAGUGAAUUAUUCUUUUUCCAGUAAUUUUUUUCCUCAAACCAUUUUGUACAUUGUAUAUUUCAUUAAAACCAUAUCUAGAAACAGUUUCAAUAAGUAAUUUUCAACCGGUUCAUGCAUACUAGGACUCACUAGGACUCACAAAAAUGCACGUAUGCUUAGAUGUCCUUAAAGGAGAACACUAUUUAUAUCAUCUGUAUUAAUACUCUCCAAGACUAAUGUACUUGUCCUUGUCCUAAAUAAAAUUAAUGCUAGACUAGCUUCCUAUUGCCAGAGUACUUUCAGAUGGCCUAAAUUAAAAAAAAAAAAAAAAACAAAAAAACUUGAGUCUGCAUGAAUACACCCAUAAUGAUGUCUCCAUUUUAUUCCUAAUUAAAAGCUCAUUAAUAUCAAAGACAAUUGUAAGAAACCCAGAUGAGACCUUCUCAUUUGGGAUUUUAAGAUUGAAGGCACUCACAAUAUCAACUCAAAAUCACUUAUUCAAAAACUACUAUAGGUGUUCUGUGAAAUAAAGUGUUAUGCUAAAGCAAGCAAUUGAUAUACCUCUUCAAAAAGGCUGUAUGUGAUUUUUCAUCCUUUCAUUUAGUUUUUAGCUCUGAAAAGUAACUUAGGCCACAAAGCAACUGGCAACAUCAAAGAAAGGGGGAACUGAAAGAGAGUAAUUGAUUCAUUCUCAAAAACACUGAACAUUUUCAGCAUUACUGGUGCAUGGGAGUAGGAAGGGGUAUGCAAAAAGGGAGGAUGUAUGAACAGAAAGGAUAGUGUUUAAACUGUGAGAUCUUCCAGCAUCAUCUCUAAAAGAUAGAGUGAUUACAUGUGUGUGUAAUUUUUGAGCAGGGCAUUUAUAUAAAUGAAAUAUCUCUGUAGUGGCUGAGGAAAAACAAGAGAGACAUUUAUUUUACCUUGUAUGCUGAGAGGAAUAUAAUGCCCUUUGAAUAUGGAGGUGAAAGGAUAUCCACAAAGCAAAGGAUGCUGAUGAUGUUCCUUUGUUCUGAAAUAUAUCAUAUGACUUUCUCUAAACUCUUUCCCAGUAAGUUAUAAUUCAGUUAAUUUAAAAAAAAAAAAUUCACAACAGUCUUAGGCUUUAUUAAUUACCGUAAUGACAAACAUUGCUAAAAUUAUUUAGAAUUUAAGAAUAAUCACAAAAACAGUGUUUAUUUGAAUGUAUAGGUAAAAGGGUGAUAUCAGUUAGGUAGAUAAUGAGAUUUCCUUUUCAGGCUGUUCCUGAACAAGGGCCGUCAUCAUUAUGAUCAUUUUUUCAAUCAUAGAGUCAUAGAAACUCAAGUUGAAUGAAACCCAUAAGGAACAUCGAGCCCAACUCCUUGUUCCUCACAGAACCACCUAAAAGUAAAUGACAAGAGUAAAAGCAUCAUCCUUAUACUUCAUGGUGCCAUGUGCACUUCCCUGUGGAGCUUUUUCCAGUGAUUGGCCACCUCAGUGAAGAGCUUUUUCCUAAUCUCCAUUCUGAACUUCUCUUAAUGCAGCUUUAUUCCAUUUUCUUGUGUCCUAUCACUGAUUACCAAAGAGAGGAAAUGAGCACCUUCCCCUCUGCUGCCUCCCAUAAGAAAGGUGUAGACUAUGAUGGGGUCACUCCUCAGUCUUCUCUUCCCCAGGCUAAACAAGCCAAGUGAUCUCAGCCAUUCCUCCUAAGUUUUAACCCUCAAGACCUUUCAUCAUCUUGACUGCCCACAUCUGGACGUACCCUAAUAGUUUGUUCUCCUUAUACUGAAGCACCCAGACCCACCCCAGCACUCGAGGUGAG